CGGACGGGUGAGUAACGCGUGGGUAACCUGCCUUGUACUGGGGGACAACAGUUAGAAAUGACUGCUAAUACCGCAUAAGCGCACAGCAUCGCAUGAUACGGUGUGAAAAACUCCGGUGGUACAAGAUGGACCCGCGUCUGAUUAGCUAGUUGGUAAGGUAACGGCUUACCAAGGCGACGAUCAGUAGCCGACCUGAGAGGGUGACCGGCCACAUUGGGACUGAGACACGGCCCAA
rnacentral:rRNA from 1 species